UCAGUGGAGGACCACAUCUCUGGAAAA
rnacentral:piRNA from 1 species